rnacentral:tRNA from 1 species
GCCUCCGUAGCUCAGAGCCUUGAAUGACAUUCAUUCAAGAUUGUCACGCAAGGCGUGCCAUGGUAGAGCGACUCUCUCGUAAGGAGUAGGUCGCGCGUUCAAAUCGCGUCGGGGGCU